rnacentral:rRNA from 1 species
UACGGAGGGGACUAGCGUUGUUCGGAAUUACUGGGCGUAAAGCGCACGUAGGCGGAUUUGUAAGUCAGGGGUGAAAUCCCGGGGCUCAACCUCGGAACUGCCUUUGAUACUGCAAAUCUCGAGUCCGGAAGAGGUGAGUGGAAUUCCUAGUGUAGAGGUGAAAUUCGUAGAUAUUAGGAAGAACACCAGUGGCGAAGGCGGCUCACUGGUCCAUUACUGACGCUGAGGUGCGAAAGCGUGGGGAGCAAACAGG